UACGUAGGGGGCAAGCGUUAUUCGGAAUUAUUGGGCGUAAAGGGCGCGUAGGCGGCUUUGCAAGUGACGGGUGAAAUCCCUCGGCUUAACCGAGGAACUGCCUGUCAGACUGGAAGGCUUGAGACCGGGAGAGGUGAGUGGAAUUCCCAGUGUAGCGGUGAAAUGCGUAGAUAUUGGGAGGAACACCAGUGGCGAAGGCGGCUCACUGGACCGGAACUGACGCUGAGGCGCGAAAGCGUGGGGAGCAAACAGG
rnacentral:rRNA from 1 species